AGGUACCACAACACUUUCACCUGGAGCCAGCAGCAGUUCACAGAAAACCACGCCAGGCACCUCUGUCACACCAGGGAGUCCAGGGACUGGAAGUGAAAAAGGUGCUACACAGGAAUUCCCCAGGACAACCAUUAUACCUGGGAGUUCCCACACAG